rnacentral:lncRNA from 1 species
AAGAGCAUUAAGCAUAUGAAUUAUCUUUAAAGAACAUUAAGAACAUGUUUACUUUUGAUGAAGCUAUAUGCUUGACUUAUUCUGAAGCUUUGUGUGAUAUUUGGAACAAUAUGUUUUAACUAAAUGAAAGAAGAAAAGAAAACAGCAUAAUUAUUCAUUCUAAUCCAGUUAUCUAAGGUUAUUUAUUUUCUGACUUGAGUCUGUGAAGAGUUUUAGACAGUGUAGAAGAUCCUUGCUGAAGCUUGUUGUAAGACAGAUGAAUGUCAUGCCAUGGAUUAUGGAUUUUUCUGUUCUUGAUGGAGGCUGGAGAGAUCUUGCAAAAUCAAAGUUUAGAUUAAAAAAAGACAGGCGGAUAGAUUUGAUCUGUGAAUCUGCUAUUGAAGCUAGUCGUUCAACAUUAUCAAGUAACAAUGCUCUACAAGAUUUUUGCUGUUUGUUAAAAUUAAUUGCAUG